CGGGAUGUAUAUGAGUGUGUACAGAUUAUUAGAUGUGUUUAUAAUAUAAUAUUUUCCCAGAUGACUUCUGUUUUCACUUAGCCUUUCACAACCAGUAUGCUAGGCUGGUUUCUUCCCUUCCCCCCCUCCGGCGCUGGGGCUUCAUUGAUUCCUCCCUAGAAAACGUGACCCCUCUCCUGCUAUUUUUAGCCAUGGUGAUCUGCUCCAGGAGGCGGCCUGCUAAAUUGUGAGCCCAAGUUUUGGCAACAGAGGAGGCGGUAGUGGGUUUCAAGGGUUUUCUUUUAAAAUGAAGGCAGCUCAUCUGUGUUUCAGCGUCAGACUAGAAGCCCUUUCUCUGCCGACAGUGUUCUCAUUCCCAUCUUCAAGCCUCGCUGGCACCAAGGCCAGAGGAGCAAGGAUGCAGGGGCCGUGUUAGACAUAACCAGUUUGGGAAGGGAGUCCCGUUUUCAUGGUUUAUUUCCAUGUAAGUUCAGGGACAUGACAGUGACCCAGGGAGUUAACCGCUGUGGAAUCCAUGUAACCUUUUCUAUUCAGAAUUUAAAAUUUUUCCUUGACCCGAAACCCACUGGCCGGGGAAGGCGUGUGGUCAGGUGGCCACUCAUGAGGGCCCCUGGAUGUGUCACAGACCUCUCUGGAUUUCUCCAGUGGCCAGGGAAGCCUGCAGAGAAAGGAGCCUUGAUUUCUGCCCGUGCGCGCGUGCACCUCGAAUUCUAGGCUGGACAGAUGGAUGUUCCUCAGGCCAGGGUCCCAGGGCCCCCCUCUUGUCCCCUGUCUUCCCCAGGAGAUGAAUGGUGAGCAUCACGGUCACGAGUCUUUGGUCCCAGAAGCAGGUGCAGCCCCCUGUCCCCCAGGAAGCCUCCCCGCAGUGUGGAAUCACCCAGAAGCGCCCUCCAAGGUCAUCGCGACUUUUCCAGAACUCCCCGGGAUUGUAUUUAUGUCCUUCAAGCGCACGAAUUGAGAAAGCCGUCAGGAAGGAAUUCAGACAGAAAGAAACGUGCUGGAGAGACACAUCUUUCUUCCCCAGGAAAUAUAAUUUAUUUCUAACUGCCUGCUCAUACGUGGGUCUCACAUUGUGAAGUCGUGUCUCGGAGUGAUUUUCACCCUCAUCCGUCCCCAAAAAAGCUACAUAAGGGCCUUUGGCACGGAGACGCGCGUUUUCCUCUCUUAGCCGUUAGUCAGACGUGCCUCUUUGGACCACGCCCACCCCCCAGGGACUGCCCUCCGGAAGUGGUGGUUGGCCGGCCUUCAGGUGUGGGCUGCCGAGAAGGGCGUGGCCUGCCCCUGCGCUGCGCAGCGCGGACGGCUCCUUCGUUGUUCAGGUUUCUAAAUCAGGUCACCCAUCAGUCAAGACCUCGGAUUCCUUCCGGUUAUGCAGAUGAGAGAAGCGGGGAGGGGCGGGGAUUGGUCACUCGGUGUAGAUGCUCUUUGAAUCCCGUCACUGCCAGGAAGUCGUUCCAGGACCCCAAGAUGCUGUGAGGUCCAAGAGACAAACAUUACCACUCAGGGUUUGCAGCCCUGUCUGUCUCAGCCACCUAAGACAUCAUUAUCUCCAAACCAUAGAUUUUCUUCCCCUUAGAAAACAAACGCUGUCUUGAAAUAGUGUUUUUUUUUUUUUAAUAUGAAUAAAUUCCCUGUCUCAUUUUGGGUAUUUGCUGAUUUUAAACAGAGCAAACCCUCUUUUCCAGUUUGGCUGUUGUGGUUUCGGUCCGAGUUGAAAUUAGAGGAUGUCUCAUCAGCAGGGGAUUCUGUAAAACAAGAAGGUCUGUUUUUAAUCCUGUUUUUUUUUUUUUUUUUUUUUGUGCAGCCCAUGCUUUAGAUGUAUUUCUGUUUCACCUGUGUAGUAGGCACACUCCCCAAAGCAAGGCAGCCAUGACCAUGAACUUGAAAACCUCUCCUCACCGUGUUUCACUUAGGGUGUGUUGUGUUUUUUUGUUCACUGCAUUUGGUUUGGGGGUUUUUGCCUCUUUGGUUAAAAUGUCCUUAUCUGAGGCCUUCAUCCCAUCUAUCCAAAAAAAAAGGCCUUCAGUGCCAAAGAGAGGGCAGGGUUGGGGCAGGUGUGCCCAGCAGAGACUCACAGUGGUCCUGAAGGCUGUCCCCGGCCCCGGGACACCCAGCACCAGGCAGGUGCUGCCCGUGUGCAAGGUGAAGCAGGGUGCCCGUGUGAGUGAGGUGGGCUUGAGGCUUGUCUUCUGUUGGGUCUGACUGGCAUCUGUCGAGAGGGACCUCCUGAGGGUCUCGGUCAAGGAAUAGGGGAGAGCCUUGCCCAUCCUCGAGCAUUUAGGACUGAUCCAGAUUUCAGAGUCAGUGAGCAUUCCGUGACCUUCAUCUUGAGAUGCAGAUGAAAGAAAGGAACCAAAUGAGAUGCGGGAAGGCUGGGGGAUCUUUGAAGUGCAGCAGACCCCCUCAGCGCAGUACCCGCUGUUCGGCACAGUCGCCCCAAAUCAGACCACGCCCCCCAUCUCCCUACUGCCAGGCGGCAUCCACGCCAGCCCAGAAGCUAACGUCUGAGCAGGUUCAGAUACCCUUGUAAAACGGAGAGACUGCCCAACCCCUGGAGGCUCACACUCAGCACUGGCUCGUGGAAGUUACAGGGGUGUUGGGGGGUGGACGAAGGACGUCCUGGGCCUCCCCAUCCCCCCGUCUCCCCUGGACGCCUGUGUUAGAAACCCUGAGGGCCUGGCUUUGUGCAGAGACUUUGGUGGGCAGCCCAGUGUACUUGGGGGUGCACCUGACCAUGCGUUAAGCCACCUAGGGAAAAGGCACGUCUUUCUGGGAGGACAGACGCUGGAGCCUGGAGCCGGGGAGGCCACUGACACUGGCCACGUGAGCACGUCACGCCCCUCCCAGGCCCACCCCAGGGUCCUGGCCCCUUCAUCUCCAGGACUAUUACAGGCGUGCUGAUGGACUCGAGUGGCUAGGCAGAGGGUACCCUUAGAAACUGCUUUAUGGCCGUUCAUGCAUCUUGGUCUUAGAAAUAACACCUCCUCCAAAUGUUGAAAAGCAGCACAGUUUCUCUCCUCCAACCAGGUUUUUGCGUCUAAAAUACAGCAAAUUCUUGAGGCUCCUGCCCGCAUCCUGGCUUAGCACCCAAAUACUGGUGAUGCUGUGCGCCCUGGAUCAAAGGCGUGCAAGCUGGCGGCCCUGGGAGGGCUGGUAUUCGGCCAUGCCAGACACUGGCACCACCACGUGGGUCCCAGGGAGCGGCUUCCUGCCCCAGACAGACCCCCGCUCUCCUGUCCCUGACUUGGAACCAGGUUCCCAUCUUGCAGCUGGGUGUGUUACCGAGAGGGAAGCCUGAGCAGGUCAGAGGUGACGACCGAGAGGCAUUCUGGGGAGUCACAGGGAAGGCCUGGAUGCGGCGCAUUCUAGCGCAUUUCUCUCUUUCUGUAAAUAGCCGUGUAUAGAAGAUGGAAGAGUAGCCUGGGGUUUAUCCAGAGAUGAGUUUGUUUUUUUUGUUUUUUCUUUCGGUUGUUUUUAUAUUACCUCAUUCAGCAAGUUUAUGUUUCACAAUGACUCAAUGACGCUUUAUUUAUAUUGUUUGUACUGUAAUUAAAACCAUUGACAGACAUUUCACUUUGCUUGUUAUUUCAUAUGAGCUUGUUUUGAUUAAAUAUGCCAGUUUGUAUUUUCCUGCCUUGGGAUUUUUUGUGUCAGCUGUACAGUAUUCUAAGGGGAAAAAAAAAAGAAAAAAGAAAAAUGUGUAAAGUAAUGGAGAGAGGUGGCUAUAGCGUAGAGGCCUCUUUCUAAUAAAGAAAUGGAAAUAUGUCUA
ensembl:lncRNA